AGCCAGACUCCUACGGGAGGCAGCAGUGGGGAAUAUUGCACAAUGGGGGAAACCCUGAUGCAGCGACGCCGCGUGAGCGAUGAAGUAUUUCGGUAUGUAAAGCUCUAUCAGCAGGGAAGAAAAUGACGGUACCUGACUAAGAAGCCCCGGCUAACUACGUGCCAGCAGCCGCGGUAAUACGUAGGGGGCAAGCGUUAUCCGGAUUUACUGGGUGUAAAGGGAGCGUAGACGGCUGUGCAAGCCAGAUGUGAAAGCCCGGGGCUCAACCCCGGGACUGCAUUUGGAACUGUGUAGCUGGAGUGUCGGAGAGGCAGGCGGAAUUCCUAGUGUAGCGGUGAAAUGCGUAGAUAUUAGGAGGAACACCAGUGGCGAAGGCGGCCUGCUGGACGGUGACUGACGCUGAGGCUCGAAAGCGUGGGGAGCAAACAGGAUUAGAUACCCCAGUA
rnacentral:rRNA from 1 species